UGAUAGUGAAAGUAAUCGACUGUUAAAGCUCAGGUGUCUGGAAGCCACGCCCUGUCUCAGGUGGUCCUGUCAUCUGUCCUCAUAAUCCCUGCAGAAUUCUUGGGGUGCAAGAGCAGAGCGGGGGUUUCAACUUAGGCUUGUAAGACUCAUUUACCUCUAUUAAAAAAAAAAACAAAAACAAGGGAGGCUUGUGUGCUCAUUACUGACUCGCGCCCUGGGGCCAGGGGCCAGGUGCUGGGUUGAUGCAGGGACACAGAAUGCAGGCCUUCGGGAAUCCUGAUAUCAGAAGCCGCCUUUGCACAGUAGUUGUGAGAGUAGGUAAAGGCAGUGGUGAACCAGGUCAUAAGAUGCCAUGGCAUAUCCGAGAGAAGUUGCUUGCCUCCUGGACUCUGGACAGGCUGAGGAGAUGGGGAAGGGCCUGUCCUGCACGGGGUGACACUGCUGAUGUCUCUGCCCUGCUCUGUGCAGUCACCCCAUUUCCUCUGCCCUCAAUGUUGCUCCAGAUGUACUGCCCGGAAUAACCGUAGGAUAAAGGGCUGGAAUUUAUGACCCCAUGUGUAUUUCAAAAUAAACCACAACACUUGUUAAAGGAAAUAGUUAAGUUAAAGGAAAUAGUUAAGUUUUUUAAGUUGUGGUUUCUAGCUUUAAAUCUUCAAAUUUUAGUACUUUUUAAGCCCUUGCUCCUAAAUUGGCUGUGAAGUGAAUUGAAGUGAGUGUAACGUACCCUCUGUGGAAAGGAUCAGUUUGUAAGUAAUUUUUAAUUUUUAACUUCUGUUUACUUUCAGAGCCGUAAUCCACAGUUGAGCGUUGGUGUUUUUAUUGCUGACUUAGCAGUUUGUUGCCUUGGCUGUUGGUUUUUCUUUAUGUGUGUGGAAAUAACGUGUGGAACAAAGGAGAAGGAAAUUGUUUAUGGUACUUUCAACAUUUAGAGUUUGUGCAGCCAGAAUGUCAGGUUAAAAAAAAAAAAAAUGUACUUCCUUUCCCUUAGGAGAGUGUGAAGGUUCCCAAAACUCUGUUUCUCACUUCCGAGAAACUGGAGCAGGUGUCUGCUUCCCUUCCAUCAGGAGAUCUCUGGAACCUUCUGGAAGCUGAUUCCCUUAUGAAGGGUAGCCUUUCUGAACAUUGUAUGGACAUGCUGGUGUGGAGAGGAUCUCUUUCCACACCCUCAGUGUGGAAUCUGUCAGUGUCUCGGGGCUGCCUGGGCAAAGCAGCACCCAUGUCAGCACUCAAGUCCUAGCUUCAGCUUUCAACAAGGCUGUGGUCUUUCGGGUGCUGUGGACUCCUCCUCUGACUCUGUCUCUGUUGCAUAGACCUUUAUACCAGUUUGUGACCUCAUCUCAAGUGAUCAUAUCUCCACUCAAUAAGGUGCCAGGGGUUGGGACUUGGCAUCUUCUGGGAACACAGAUUAACCCACGGAACAUUUUCUUCUGAAAUGGACGUGGCAGUCAUGCCAACUCCUCUCUGUAGGUGGGCUCUGCCCUUCCCGUUUCCUGUCUGACCUGCGUGGCUGGGGUGGUGCAGGAAUGGGGCAGCAGCCUGUUGGUUGUGGUUUCAGGUGUGGCAGGUGGUCAGCAGUGGGGAAGCAAUUGGCACUGAGCCAGAGCCCUGCCUCCUUCACCCCCUGAAGACUGCCCCAGGAGAUGUGUCAGGUGAUGGUAUUGUCGUCUUUUGGUGACAGGUUCACAGAAAACCAGAAUUUUUAUUCCCCUGGUGUGUAUUUCUGUUGUUGAGAGGUAUGAUGGAUUGAAAAAAGACAUUAGGGCCUAACAGAAUUUCUAAUUCUGGGUAGAAGAAAUGGAAAUAGAAAAGGAACAGUGUCAUUUCUGUCUACCAAGAAAGAGCAAACACUUCUUAAGGGCAGUGAUGGCAAGUCUUCAUGAUAUUUAAAUGCCACUGAGUAUAUUUAAACAAGUCACAGCUUUAUUUUAAGUCAAUAUUUAAAAUACACCAGAACUAUUUGUAAAGAUUUAAACUCAAGACGAAAAAUUGUAAAUGACAAUUGAAAGUAUUUUUCAAAUUCUUUUAAGGAGUGAUUUAGGUAGAACAUGUGGAGAGCCUGGCUGGCAGCAGGUUCUCUCUCUCUUGUAGACCUGUCCUUACAUUUUUCCUUGAUAGUGUAUGUUAAGUGGAGUAAUGUGCUGCAUGUUUAAACAUCAGGCUGCCUGAACAUUUUUAUUGCUUUCAAAAUAUUCAAUAAAAAAAUUGCUUUAUAUUUGCAUUAUGCUUGUCAUGUCACAUAGCCGCUCACAGGAGAUCAUUUUGCACUGUCAUCACCAUUUCCCACUGGGAAGCUUAUAGAGAAUGUGACCAGGAAGGAAAUGGUUCCUGUUUGCAGAGCUCAAGUUGCCAGGAGUGGACACAGAAGGCGAGAGUCCGUGCGUGCACGUCCAGCCGCCUAGAGACCGUGCACUCAGGGUGAGAGUUCACCGGGAAGGAAGGCACUUGCUGUCCCUCGGCAGCCUACAGUCAGUCUCAGGAGCAGCAGGAAGGGGCACCAGGAACUCCCACAGAUGUGGAGGUGGGGUUGAGAGGCUUCUAUAAGAUGUAUUUUGCAAUCAAUCAAUAAAUAUAUGUUUGAGAGAUUGACAAUGAGAUCAUUAUGUAAAUCCUGAAACCUAAGUCGCAGUCGUACUCAUUUUUUGAUUGAAAUAUGAUCAUUUUCAAGAUAGAAAAUGAAACCCC
rnacentral:lncRNA from 1 species